GGAGCCAAUUUGCUUUGUAAAGCCAAUUGCCCAAGUGACUUGAGUUCGAAAGGAGAUACUUCCUGGACAACUGCUAUAAAAACAACAACAAAUACUUUUAUUAAUUCGGGGAGCCUGGUCACCAACUGGAUGCUCAGGGGAGACAGAACCCUGAGCAGCCCAUGUACAUGGAAGAUCUUUAUUGCAGAGAUCUUCAAAGCAGGAAACUGAGGCUAAAGAGUUUAGUAUUCUGCCAAGGCCAGCUAAUAGUUACAGAGCAUGGUUCCAAAUUCAGAGCUGUCGGAAGCUUAAGCCCAUGUGAUGAACCACGAAUGUGAUUUUACCUCAUUUAAGCCUUGCAGCAAACUCUGCCAACUAGUGUGCAUUUACUCCUGCCUCUCCAUGCCUGAAGGAAGGAAUGAAGAGGUCUCUGCUGUCCAUCUGAGCCAGUGACUGGGUGAAUAUGCCUGCCCAAUUCUAGCAUGCAGUAUUAGGAAGCCCACUGUUGCUGUGCACCUAAGCCCAGGUUUUCCAGUAUCAGCUCUUUUAGUAAUAAAGUUGGCGUUGUAGUUUCUAGCUA